rnacentral:hammerhead_ribozyme from 1 species
AUUUAGUUGACGAGUCCCAAAUAAAACAAAACGCGCGUCAAACUUGAU